GACGAACGCUGGCGGCGUGCCUAAUACAUGCAAGUCGAACGCAGUGGGGACGGGUGAGUAACGCGUGGGUAACCUCCCAUCAGAGGGGAUAACACUUGGAAACAGGUGCUAAACCGAUACUGAUGGAUGGACCCGCGGUGCAUUAGCUAGUUGGUGAGGUAACGGCUCACCAAGGCCACGAUGCAUAGCCGCCCUGAGAGGGUGUGCGGCCACACGGGGACUGGGACACGGCCCAGACUCCUACGGACGGCAGCAGUAGGGAAUCUUCGGCAAUGGACGAAGUUCUGACCGAGCAACGCCGCGUGAGUGAAGAAGGUUUUCGGUUCGUAAGACUCUGUUGUUAGAGAAGCGGUAUCUAACCAGAAAGCCACGGCUAACUACGUGCCAGCAGCCGCGGUAAUUC
rnacentral:rRNA from 1 species